rnacentral:rRNA from 1 species
AUUGAACGCUGGCGGAAUGCUUUACACAUGCAAGUCGAACGGUAACAGGCCGUUCGGGUGCUGACGAGUGGCGAACGGGUGAGUAAUGCAUCGGAACGUGCCCAAUCGUGGGGGAUAACGUAGCGAAAGUUACGCUAAUACCGCAUAAGCCCUGAGGGGGAAAGUGGGGGACCGCAAGGCCUCACGCGAAUGGAGCGGCCGAUGUCAGAUUAGCUAGUUGGUGGGGUAAAGGCUCACCAAGGCGACGAUCUGUAGCGGGUCUGAGAGGAUGAUCCGCCACACUGGGACUGAGACACGGACCAGACUCCUACGGGAGGCAGCAGUAAGGAAUAUUGGGCAAUGGUCGAAAGACUGACCCAGCCAUGCCGCGUGCAGGAUGAAGGCCCUAUGGGUUGUAAACUGCUUUUAGCCGGGAAUAAACACCCGUUUUAUAACGGGCCCGAAGGUACCGGCUGAAUAAGCAUCGGCUAACUCCGUG